GAUCCUGGCUCAGGAUGAACGCUAGCUACAGGCUUAACACAUGCAAGUCGAGCGAAGCACUUAAGUUCGAUUCUUCGGAUGAGGACUUUUGUGACUGAGCGGCGGACGGGUGAAGUAACGCGUGGGUAACCUGCCUCAUACAGGGGGAUAACAGUUAGAAAUGGCUGCUAAUACCGCAUAAGACCACAGUACUGCAUGGUACGGUGGUAAAAACUCCGGUGGUAUGAGAUGGACUCGCGU
rnacentral:rRNA from 1 species